rnacentral:rRNA from 1 species
UACGAAGGGUGCAAACGUUGCUCGGAAUUAUUGGGCGUAAAGAGCUCGUAGGCGGCUUGUCGCGUCGUCCGUGAAAACCCACAGCUCAACUGUGGGCUUGCGGUCGAUACGGGCAGGCUAGAGUUCGGUAGGGGAGACUGGAAUUCCUGGUGUAGCGGUGAAAUGCGCAGAUAUCAGGAGGAACACCGGUGGCGAAGGCGGGUCUCUGGGCCGAUACUGACGCUGAGGAGCGAAAGCGUGGGGAGCGAACAGG